CUACCAGAGCGAGGGUUGGCACUCCUGGGUCUGGAAUCCCAGGCUGGCACAGGUGAUGGCUGCCAUCGUGACCGACCUGCGGGAGCAGCGCCGGGAGCCAGCCCCUGGCACCGCGGUGUGGGAGCGGCCGGGGUCUGCCCGCGUGUACACAGAGCACGCAUAUCCGCAAACACCCUGCCUCCACUUCUUAACCAACAAAAUGUCCCUUCCUACACAAGUAGUCACGGCUGCACAUGGGCCGUUUUUUCCCUUUGAGUAUUCCAAACUGCAUCAGCUGAACCAGAAAAUGAAGCUGUCCAAACAGCUCACGAUAAUCCGAACACGGUAACAUACGUGUCUAAUAUCCCUACAACAACAAAUGUUGACAAGAAACCGUAUCUCCGUUCCUUCAUUCGCCUCCAUUUUAGAUCCUAAAAUGAAACUUCAAGCUAGACAACCCUAUAGGUAUUCCUUUUUGCUUCAAACCUCUUGGCUUGCAAACUGGUACCUCAGUGCAAAAGCAGCAGCAGCGCAGCACCUGGCUCUUCCUAAACUCCCCCUCCGUAGAAACCACCUGCACUACUUAAACGUGAUGCUUGAUACACUGAGGCACAAGAACACUAGAAAAAGGAUGCACAUUACUCUGGAGUCCAGAAAGACUUUCAGCUUUUAUCUCCAAAUAUUAUUAGUCCCCCAUGUUUUCAAAGAUGGCUUACUGAAAAAUUAAUAUUUUGAUAGAUACGUAUGUGUGCAAAAUCCUGGUCCCGACUAAAAUCAGAGAUUGCCAUCAAUUUCAAUCAAACAAAACAGCAUUUUAAUCUAAAAAGUCUUGAGAUGUAUGUAGCAAAAAGAAACUAGAUUUUACAAGCAUUUAGUUGUUUUUGUUUUUGUUUUUUUUAAUGGCUCCCUCACUCAGGUGGGAAGUGUUGAAUCAAGGAAGAGAAACUGGUACUGUCUACCUUGAGCAUACUUCAGAGGAAGGUGAAAAGGGCAGGACCCAGAAAAUGAACAGAGAGAAACCAUAGCUAUCACACGAAUAUGUCUCCUCUGCACAAAGGAAAAUCUUAAACUCUAUAAGAGGUUGCAGCAGUGCUUCUUCACCAACCCAACUUCCAGUACAAAUUGUACACAGGAAUAAAAACAAAAUCCCAAAGGAAAGAAGAAUCUUCCUGGUCUUCCCCUCUCUUCUGAGGCAACCAGUGUGGGAGCCUCCUUGAGUUCCUGAAAGUUGAGAAAUUCCUUAUCUGUGAAGAGAGACUCGCAUGGCAUCAUUCCACACACGUCCAUCUGUUGGUACCAGAGGCAGAAGCAGCUGAUUGAAACUAACAUAAAUCCGACAACAUCCUAAUAGCAUUUAAAAGACUAAGCAACCUGCUGUGGUUUAAAUAUUCUUAGAUAUUACAAUGAAAUAACAUUGUUAAACAAAAUGACACGGAUGCAUUUGCAAUAAGCAAAAGGGACACGUCUUUUGAUGAAUUUACAAGACAACAGUAUUAUAGGAUAUGUCACAUGUUAGGCAAAACAGGAGGCACUUUUCUGUCAGUAUCCCAGUUUUUGAAGAAUUUCACUUGGCUGAACACUCCAAGGGCACUUCCUCAACUUCCCCCACACCCCCCUCCCCCCUUUGAACAAAGUAAUCCAUUCCCAUUUUAAGGCAGUGGAAAAUUAGGUCUAAUCAGUUGUUCAGGAGAGUUGUCAGGAUUAAACAGAUUUAAAUAAAGCCAGGCAAAACAUGCUAAUAUUGCCCUAAUUUAGAAGUGAAUUAAUCAAUAAAUAAAGAAGUCAGCUAGAAUUAUAGCUGAAGUUACCACUUUCAGAAAAGGAGUAAAAUCUAUACAGGAGGCAUGUCCUGGAUCCUCUGCAACAUGCUGACUAACAUCUUGCACAGCUGUAACAGCAAAGCCAGUUUGUAAAAGGUUUUGGAUAUCACAUAAAAUUUUGCAUUUAAUAGUAAAUUCUCAGGUCAACUAUCAUGAUCUCACUAUUUGGACAGGAACAAAAAGCUGGAAGGAAAACUAACUUGUGAGACAUAGCAUACAUACGUGUGAUGUGCCUUAACCUCACCUUUAACUCCAAGGCACACCUCUGAGCAGGACACUCACUGCCUUUACCCCUGGUCUUUAGACAAGAUUCUGCUCAGCUAGAUUUUUUUAAACAUAUCUGACCUGUGAUUCCCUUGUAUUACCCCUCUAUCUUGAUAUAAACUUAGAGAUACUUUUUAGUUUCUUCCCAGUUGUUUUAACUUCUUUGCUUGGGAAAUUAAGUUUUAGCUACCUCAGGAAAUUGUUGAUUUAAAAAAAAAUAAAAAUAGAAAGUCUCUACAUGUUUAAAAAGUUAUGCUCUAAUUACUGUGAGUGCCUGCAUGUUUAGUGGUAUCUCUCAACAGAAUAUUCUUACAAAUAUAGAAAGUCAUUGCAUACAACAACCUCAGCAUGAAGUGAGGAAUUCUGUAACUGUUUCUUAACCCUGUUUAAGGAUCCCAACAUGCAAUUACACACAAGAGCAAUCAUUAAAAAUUCGCUUCAGGAAAUAAUGUUGCCAGUAAGUUGGUAGACUCAUGCACUCACAACCUGAUUUACAUCAAUAAUAUUUACCACAGAAAUACAGCUUUUGCUUGACUGCAUGACUAGCAAAUCCAGAUAAAAUAUCAAAACUUACUGAAUAAACAACAACCCUGUAUUUUUCUCCUUAUGCAUCUAAUUUUUUAACUAUACAUAUGUUUGUAACAAAUACC